AUUUGCAAGGCAGCUAGUGUCCCAAACUUUUUUUUUUCUUUUUAUAAGCAACUGCACAUAGUUUGCAACGGAGUACCAAAAUGUCUCUGGGAUUGCGGGGAGGGGGUUGUCCAAUACACCGUGAGGAAAGCCCCGGAGCAAAGUGAGCUGUGCUUGCUCCUCUACGGGACACUCGGGCUGUUGGAGGUGGCCUGCCAGGUGCAAAAGCGGACAGGGCGUGGAAGUCCCGGGGGGAAGCAGGCGGAGCAGCUGCCACCAUCACGCGUGGAGGGCGUGGGAGGCAGGCAGAACGCAGAACUAAAGCAGUGACUGAUCUCCCUCAGCAGAGAGGGCUGGCUUAUCAAAGACUGGCGGUGAGUGCAAUCCUGCAAAGGAGAGGUGGAGGGUGGAGUAGGGACUAGAUCCAUUACCGCACCUGAAAUGUAAACACUUGAUGAUCCGGAAGCUCUUUAGCUCUGAUCCUACCUACCCAAAGCCCCACCCUGCUUAGGACCCAGAUUGCACGCAAACUAUCUGAACACCAGCUCCUACUGUCACUUGUCCAAGAAAGCAUGUAGGUAGUGGAGGGUUAAUUUUCUGUUCUCAAUAAACUGCCCACUAGGCAUUUCCAAAAGCUUUAAUCAACUAGGUGAUGGCCACUUAGGCAAUAUCAGGUUGCAUUUUUGCUUUAGAAAUGCUUUCCUAAUCCCCUUAGGUGCUACACCUUGCAACCACUAAUAUUCCCAAAUGCCUCGUGGCUCCUGAGAAACUAGGUCUCAUCAAACCUGUUAAAUAAUAUAAGUAUAAUCAAUAAUAGUCAAGCAAACUACUUAUAGUUAACUGCUUCAUACUUUAUCUUUUCAGUCCUUUUGUUUACAGUAAAAUUGCAUAUUUACUAAAUUCUCAAAUUCUUUACAUUGAUUGUUGACUAGAAGAUAUUGGAAAAUCGUCAUCUCUUCACCUAUGCAAGUAGUCUUUCAAUUAUCUCCUUUUUAAUUAUUUUAAAGCAUCAGUAAUAUGAGAGUGUCACUUAACUUGCUGCCCUAGAAGUGCAUAUCAUUGGAUUUCUUCUAGAUGGAUCUACCUUAAGGCUCUUGUAUUUUGAGACUUCAACUCCUAACUAUAAAUGUUGUUCCAUAGCUCAGGAUCCUGCUUCCGCAUGUUUAAGGCACUUGCCCAAGACCCAGCGUGCAGGCCUUCCUUCAGAUCCUCCACGUUUGGAGGUUUGGCCUCUUCAGACCAAACAUGAAGAUAAUUAGCCCAGGAUUCAGAUAAGCAGACCUAACAAACUGUCGCAAAUAGGAACCAGUUCUGCUUCCUUUCUCUGCCUUUUUAAUGCCCGAAAGCCAAACUCUCAGGACUGAAUGCUGCACAAGAAAGUUCUAAUGGUUUCACUGUUUUGUUUGCUGAGAUUAUCAUCUGUGCAAAUAACUCAGCAUUUGCAUCACUAAUAGACUUCUUUUAAAAGGAAAAGACAUUUCAGUAGGGCUGGAACAGUUCUUUAGAGUUUUGUUUGUUCCACUUUGGCAGGGCCAAACUAGUCCUUUAGAAAAGAGAUGGAUUUUCAUGUAAGGGCCUGAUUUGUCAUAUGGGUUACAACAUAAAUAAAAAAGCUUUUGUGAUUAACUGCUCACAAUAAAAUAUUUUGUUCUUUGUAAUACAGACAGCCAAAUCCAGUGCCUUUUUUUUGUCUAACACUCCUUAACUUUGAUAGAAGUAACACUAAUGGUCAUACUUUCCUAGAAUCAGAGAAAGAGCUUCCCUCUUCUAUGUUAAGAAGCAUCCUUAGAAGUCAUCUAAUCUUUUCAAUUUAGGAAAUGCUUCUACAACAUCUCUCCUGGAUUACUGUUGCUUGAAUACCUUUAGUAAAAGGUAUUACUAUUUUUCUAUUAGUAAUUAUGAUCAUUCACUAGCACUGCUUCUCAAAGCAACCCACCACAUUGUGAAAUAGUGCGAGUGAAUGAUCAUAAUUACUAAUAGAAAAAUAGUAAUAUCUGACAUUACCAAGUACUUACAAGUUGCCAGGAACUGAGUCGAGUACUUUCCAUGUAUUACCUCAUUUAAUUCACACAACAACAUGAUGGCAUAGGUAAUAUUAUCUCCAUUUUAUGAGGCACAGGUUAAGCUGCAAGGCAAUUCAGAAAGCUCAAAUUUGAACAGAGGCAGUAUGACACCAACAGAGGCAGGCCAGACCCUUAGCCACUGUUCUAUACUCUGCUUGUAUAAAAUAUACUUUUUAAAAUUUUUCUCUUAUGCUAGCUAAAAUCUGCCUCCUUGUAAUGUAGUUAGAGGCAAUGAUUAUUAGAUUCUGGUGAUAUAGAAUACAGAAAAGAAAAGCCACAGUGCCUGCCCUCAAGGAGUUUGCAAUCUCACAAAAUAGGGUAAGAGGCACAGAGGAGAGGCAUUAAUGCAUUAUUAAUGCACAGGAAGAAGAUUUAAGAAUGAUGUUAAAGCUGAACUUUGAAGAAUGUUUAUGAGUUAGCCAGUCAAACAAGGGGAGAUGGUGCACUCCAGGCCAGCCGCUCAGCCCCUUAAAGCACCCAUGUAAGCAUCACACGGCAGGGAACACAAAAAGUUAAGUUGGGCAGUAGCCCAUCUUCUGUUGGUCCAUCCCUUGUGGGCUUCUGGCUUAGGAAUCCCUUGAUCCCCUGUACCAGCUUCCAGUUUCACCCUCAGGACCUCUUGUCUAACAACCCAUUGGAUCCACAUCUUUUGGCUUACUGACCCCAGCCUUCUCCAUCUAACAUAACCACCAUUCACAUUUUCAGUAUACCAACAGCCCUGGAAAAGGAAUGCUGAGCAAGACUUAGCUCCAAGAAAGACUCAUGACAAGCAGGACAUCCACCAAAAGAGGAAAAUCAGAUACAAGCAUGGAUGUGAAAUAAUAUGGCACAUACGACAGGUAAUUGUGCCUAAAUUCUGGGCACAGAGGGAGAUGGUGACAAUGAGACCAAAAGUGUGGAGACCGAAUUGGAGGCAGGUGGCAAGACUGGAGUCAUGAUGGGAGAAGAGUUAGGAGUCCCUCACAGUAGUAGAGGUGAGAGAAAAUGGGGGCCUGAAUCAACAUCUGGAGUAUCAACGUAUAACAAUGGUAGUAUAUAAAAUUGGAGGUUGAGAUGAAUUCUCAUAGGGAAGAUGUAUGAAAUAAACAGAAAGUGAGUUCCUAGAAAACUUCAACAUUCAGGGUGUGAGAAAAAGAAAGAGAAUUCAGCAAAGAAGCCCAGGAAGGUGGAACCCCAUAUGAUAUGUGGGAAUAGAGUGGUAUAGCACCCGUAAGAAUGAACAACUCAGGUCUCCCCUCAGGGAAGCACCUGCUCUGUGGAGUGUGAUUGGCUGACAGUCUUCAGCUACCACAUCUUUAAGAUCCAUCAUAGCAUUUUUGUAAAGGUCUAUCUCCCCAGAUGCUCCCAGCCAAUAACUGAGCACGGCCAUUCCUGCCCAAUGAAGUUUCCUCUAAUGGGCAGUCAUUGCUCUGGGACUCCCCGUUGGCCUGACUGAGGCUUUCUCAGAGCUGCCCUGAACACUGGCUCUUCCUACCCAAUCCUUCUUCCUUCUCUCACUCUCUUCACAGGUAUUAAAACAUGCAUUAUAAUCUGAGACUUUUCCCUCCUAUUCCUGCUCCUCUUUAUCCUUCACAGGUGUUUCCACAGAUAAGUAUCUUGCAUUUCUAAUUCAAUCUUACCAUCUGCUGUACUGGUACAAAUGGUACCAAUGAAGCAAAAGAGGGAAUUUUAAGAAGAGAGUGGAUUGACAGUAUUAAAUGCCAAAGAGCGACUAAAAAAGAGGGAGACAGAAAGUAUCAUUAGUUGUCAUUAUGGAGAUCAGUGCUUAACUAUCCUAUUUCUUCUGCUGCUGUUGUAUCUCCUCUUAGGUAUAUUCUCCAAAAUCCCCUUCAACCUUUCUCAUACAUCAUGAUCUCCAUACAUCUCAUCUGGACCCCCUCAUUUGGACACAUUUAAUUUGUUAAUAUCUUUCUAAACACUGGCAAAGAAUUGAGCUCAGUAUUCCAAAUACAGUCUGGUCAAUGUUGACUGUGGGAGGAUUAUAACUACCUAUUAUCUGAAUACUAUAUUGUAGCCUAAACUUUGAUGCAAUUGUUUACUACCACAACAAACUCAGGGCCACAGCAUUGCCUAACUCCAGGUGAUGCCAUUCUGACUAUUAUCUAUAAUUAUAAAAUCCUCAACUCCCACUUGGCCCCUGGGUCCUGAUCAAGAAACAUCUUCAAAAAUUGUAUUUAUUCCCCUCUGAAUCAGAGCAUCACAGGUAUUCUUGGACCCACAGCCAUAAAGUGUGAGGGACAAGAAACAUGGUCUCAUAUAUCCUACUGUAAAGUUCCCGGCCUGCUAACAGUUUAUCAGACCAGAUACCAUCUUCUCAUCCCCAAGCAGAUAUGCCAACAAAACUGAGCACCAAGUAUCUCUACACAAUAUUGCUACCAGCAUAUACUCCUUUUCUAUUUAUUAAAAAAAAAAGUUAACUGUACAACAGCCUCAGACAGGAGGCAUUACAGAAGGCAUUAUUAUCAUCAGAGAUGACAGCUCCCUGCAUAUUACUGCCUCUGAAGACCUUCCAGUGAGAAGAUGUCAGAGGUGGAAGGCAGUGAUAUUGAUGAUCCUGACCCUAGGAGAGAGAAUGCUAAUGAGCUGUGAAAUGACCAAAAAUCUGGCAGCAGAAGGGAAAAGACAAAAAAUAACGGGUUUGUAUAUUACACAUUCUGGAUAAUCAGCUCUUGAAUGAUUAAGUGUGGAAGAUGUCUUAUGGGGAAAAGCAGAUUUUAAAAACUCAUUUUAUGACCAUGGAAUUGUUUUAUUGACCAUUUCCAGUUUUCAGAGGAUCCUAGGCCAAACUUACAAAUUAUUUUGGAUAAACAAAAUGCUCUUAUGAUAUGCUGCAUAACCACACACAUAUAUACCUCGUUGUUGUCCUGUCUUCACUUCAGUGUUUAUGGGGCUGGACGUGGGAAUGGUGGUCUGGGGAAACUAAAAAGCAAAAAUUGUUCCUGUGGAAUCAGGGAGGGAUUUGGGAGGAAAAAAAUUACUUUGAGUGAAUUCACUCUUGGUACAUAUAAAUAGUGCUUGGUGCUUGAGGCAACCACUUGAAAUUAAAGUUUGCCUGAAACCUCAAAAUAAAAGGUUAGUUUGUACUAGUCUAGAUGAAAGCUGAAGAGCACAGGAAAUAAUAAGGGUGCUGGACUACAUUGUCUCUCUUUGGAAUUGAAAGUUGGGAUUGAAGAAGGAGACACAUUUAGGAAUUAAUAUGGUUACUUUUUAGCAAACACAGCAGUUGCUAUGAUCUAGAUCUGUGGUCCCAACCAACCCCUGGGCCGUGGACCUGUCAGUAGCCUGUCGGGAACAAGGCCACAGAGCUCUGCUGCGCCCACCCUCCCCACUACCCCUUCUGGUCCUUAGACAAAUUAUCUUACAUAAAACCAAUCUCUGGUACUAAAAAGGUUGGAAACUGCUGGUCUAGAUCAAAAUUACCACCACUUGGCCCCUGGAUAUUCUCCUAAUGGACCUUUGUAAUAUAUUAAACCCAGGCCACAAUCUCAUGGUUCUUUGGCCUAGGUGCUACAACAGCCAAAAUAUAAUUCCCUAAAUUAAAACUUACCUACAGGUGUAUUUAUGACUUCUGAGUACCUCAGGGAGAGUAUAUCUCUGAAAACAAUUAUUUCCCUCUAUGUCAUUUGUAGACUAGCAAAGAAAACAAAAGACACGAAAAUAUCUUACAGUUUGGUAAGACUUUGUGUGUAUUUCCUCAUUUUCACUCCAUUUGUAGCUGUUAACAUUGAAGCAAAAUCCUAAAGCGAAGUGACCAGAGUAUUCCCGUAGUCAUGAUGAGCCUUAUCACUGCUCUCUACAAUUGUUUCUUUCUCCAAAUAAAGAGAAGCAAGACUAGUGGUGGUAUAUAAGGAAUAUAUAUUGUGAAUAUAUUGGGUUCUCAAAGUUCCUACAGUCUAAGUAAAUGUUUGUAACUUAGAAUUAAUUCCCCAUGGAAAUAGCGUGAUUAAUUAUGAUUCAAUUCCAAGGCAAGGGCACAAAACCUAAUAUAAUCUUAGUGUAUAUGGCAGGGCAAAUUGGAUGAGAAAUUGUAUUUUCUUUUCUUGUCGAUUGGCUCAUUAUGGAAAAAUGAGAAGUAUUUUUCCCUUCUCCUCUCCAGAGGGAGGCUUAAGAUGUGGUGAUUUUCUGAUGCUUAAGCUCAUAGAGGCAGAAGACUCAAUUAUCUGGAAUGAGAAAAGCACCAGGAAAAGGGAAAUGGCCUGACUUCAGGAGACUUUGGAUCUCUUGGACCUGCGUAGAGAGAACCAGACAGAAGUUAGUUUCUAUAAAUGGUGAGGACUUAUGCCCACUCUCAGAUAGACCAGAAUGGUAUAGAUCUCUGAUGGGGAUACCGGCAAGGAUAUCUUAUCUCAGAAAUGGUAAAAAUACUAAGUUAUACUAGGCUAUAAUAAGCCAAGGGUGAAUGUUAUAAACUCUAGUGUUAGGAUUAAGAGAAUAGGAAAAGUAUAUAUAAGUAAUAUAAUGUGUAAAUAAUAAAAGGGAGAAAAAAAUAAUAAAAACACUUGA